GCCUGGGUGGCUCAGUCGGUUAAGCGCCUGACUUCAGCUCAGGUCGUGAUCUCACAGCUUGUGGGUUCGAGCCCCACGUCUGGCU
rnacentral:tRNA from 1 species